UUCCUUUCCUCGCAUCAUCGUUGUUUUCUAAGACAGGGAUCAUUGUCUUCUGCCUGUUUUCACUGAUGGAAGGUAUAAGGUGCCCUUACACUAACCUAAGCGACCCUAUGGAGACCUUCCCACUGGAAUGGGGUGCAGUUAUUAAGUUCCCUCCAUGUCACCCUGUAUGAUAAAGUGUCUGAAUGAGGGCCCUUCUAGAGGAGAGAAUGUGAAGCAGUGCCCUAUAAGGUGCCCUUACACUGAUCUAAGCCACCCUAUGGGGACCUUCCCACUGGAAUGGGGUGCCGUUAUGAAGUUCCCUCCAUGUCACCCUGUAUGAUGAAGUGUCUGAAUGAGGGCCCUUCUAGAGCAGAGAAUGUGAAGCAGUGCGCUAUAAGGUGCCCUUACACUGAUCUAAGCCACCCUAUUACCCGAUUAAGAAAAUAGGUGCGCUUUUUAAUUUUUCAUGCCUGAAUCCACCCUUCAGACAGCCUUGACUGCCACUUUCCGUUUUUAUGAGUACUGCACAUCUAAUCCAGGGUGUACACAAUUGCAGUUGAAUUACAUGAAAAAAAAAACAUUGUAACACUGUAAUAUACUUAAACCAUAAACUUCAGACGGUACAGAAUGCUGCAGCCAGAGUUCUAACAAACACUAAAAAAUUUGAUCAUAUUACACCGGUCUUAUCCUCUCUUCGUUGGCUGCCAGUUAAGUCUCGAAUUGACUAUAAAAUACUGCUAUUAACUUAUAAAGCACUAAAUGGCCUUGCACCAGAAUACCUUAGUGAUCUGCUGACCACAUACAACCCUCCAUGCUUGCUUCGAUCUCAAGCCAUGGGAUAUCUGCUAGUGCCUUGGGUAGAAAGAGCUACGGCAGGCUGCAGAGCUUUCUCCUACAAAGCUCCUCAGCUGUGGAAUGGUCUUCCACCGGAUGUGCGGGUUUCAGGCUCACUCUCAAUAUUCAAGUCCAGACUAAAAACACACCUGUUUAGUUUAGCGUAUAGGGACACUAGUUCUAGCCCUAGCUAACUCUUCACUCCCAGUCAGACCUGUAGUGUGAGGUGUAGAGCUGGGUGGGGAUCGGUGCCAUUGGCUUUGGAUAAACUGGACUGUCAGUGCUGUCACUCUAGCUUCGCAAUCUCUUGUGGAACUGGAGUGCUGACAUUUCAGGGACUCCCCAUGCCUGCAUUCCCACUUGCCCCUCCCUCCUACUGAUGCUGCCAUAGCCAUAUCUGCCGGAGCUUGCAGAUUGCACUUCAUAUUGCACUCACCUAGCUUUUAGCACUGCCAAUAGCCUCCUCUACUUUGCCUAAUUGUACAUUUUAUUUCCCCUACUCCUCCUGGGGGGUGAUGCCUGGAGACCUCAAUCUAUCAAGAUAUCCAGCACACCCGGCCACAUGUGACGUCGCCACCACCAGUGACGUCCCUGCAUCCAGCUCGCCGUUCUGAUCUUCCAUGUAUGACCCGCUGCCUUACCUCUGGUUGCCUGGCGAUUGGAAGAAGACUCAGCAUCGGCAUUGGCUUGUCAUCUUCCUUGCUCUCCAGUUAUUUCCCAAAUCUUAUGAUUGGGACAAUGUGACUUGGCCCAUCUCUGGCACUUAACCAUCUCUCUAUUUGACUAUCCCUGCCGGCCCCUGGAGGAUGGGCUCCCCCUUUGAGUCUGGUCCCUCCCAAGGUUUCUUCCUUCUUGGGAGUUUUUCCUUGCCACUGUCGCCUAUGGCUUACUCACUGGGUACUUUGGGUGAGGAUGCUGUAAAGCGCUUUGAGACAAUGUAAUGUUGUGAUAAUGCGCUAUAUAAAAAUAAAUUUGAUUGUUUGUUU